CUACACAGACCCGCACUGACCUGGAAAAGCUUCGGGAGCGGCGACGGGAAGGCAGCAGGAGGUGGUGCGGGGACCCGAGGCGCCUCGUACCCGGCCGGGCUGACGCGGCCCCGCUACACACAAAGCGCUUCAGCUGCACAGGGCGCUAUUUUCCGAAAAUGCCGCGUCUGGUCGGCGCCCAAAAUCCCCACCGAAAAGUCCCCCGUGCUGCGCGCGGAGGGACACAUGGUGUGCGAGUGAGUCAAGCUCCCAGCAUCCCUCCCGGACCCGGCCCUCUUCAGCUCAUCGCCCGAGGAUUUUCCGCCUCUGCCCUCGUCGGCAGAUCCUGCUCCUACCCACUCCCUAGCUGUGUUCCCGCGGGGAGAGAGGGGAAAGAGGGUCUGAUUUUUUAACGAAGGGAAAGAAAAUAUGCCAUUUCUAGCGCUUCAGCCACACAAAGAAAGCGGCGGAAUGAUCCGCUCUCGGCGACCGCAAGUCCCGGCUCGCCCGGCGCCUGCGCGGCAGCGGGGGUGGGAGCUGCGGACGGCCAUGUGCGCGGCGGAGAGGCCGGGUGGCCACCGAACCUUCCCGCCUGUUCUGCGGGGCGUCUGGGCAUGGCUUUCCCAACCUAGUAACUGCAACUUUUAGCAUCCUACAUGUAGGACUUGGGAAUAUGUGAGACAGCGCCAAGAAUUUAAUCCAGGAGAAUUGACAAGCUUAAAUGAAAUCCAUAUUGCCCACUGAUUUUGUGCAGCUUCAGAUAAGUAAUCUUUCUCCACUUAGCCUUUUGUAACAAUUGAUGUAAUAAAGGUUUGUAGUCUUUGUGUAAUUUAUUAAAGCAUUGUGCCUAAAAUAGAAAAAAAGCAUAGGAACCAUAGGCUGUGUUUUCUUUUGAUUUAAUAUUUUCAUUUCUUCAGUUAAUAGAAAUUUGCCAAAUUCUGAUGUUUUUCUGUAGCAUUAUUUGAAUGAGCAUUGUUUAUUUGAGUGAACAUUCAGCUAAUUGUUACAGAAUCGUUGCCCCCAUUAAUCUUAGGCUGUAGAAUGUAGACAAGUAAAUAGGCAUCAUCAGUAUGAUGAGAGUGAAGCUACUUAAUACUGUGGAAUCAAAUAAAGGAGGAACCCCUUACUAAACCAAGAGGGAGGAAUAAAAUGGAAUGGGACUAGAGAAGCAAUUAGCUUUAAUAAGGGUAUUAUGGAAGACUUUCUAGAUGAGAAGCAGUAAGUACAGAUGUUUGGAGGCAAACACUAGAGAGAUUGUUGGGUAAAGAAGACAAUGCUGGAGGUCUACUUGUGAAGGCCUUGAAUGCUAUGUGCAGAAGUCAGCUUCUGAGAACCAGGAAGAAGAUAUUGAAAGAUUUUAAGUAGAAGAAUCAUAGGAUUGAAUUCAUUUUAGACAGAUCACUGUUACACAAAAAUUUGAGGCAGGAGAAUUGCUUGAACCCGGGAGGCGGAGUUUGCAGUGAGCCAAGAUAGUGCCAUCGCACUCCAGCCUGGACAACAGAGCGAGACUCCAUCUAAAAAAAAAAAAAAAAAAAAAAAAAACUCAGUUUUUGGUUUUGAAAAUGUCAUGAUACCUGUUGAGAUAACUGCUGAAUAGAUGGGUAAUACACAGUCUAGGGCAUGGUAUCAAAAGAACUUGUCACUGUACAUAUCGGAAAUGGUAAAAAUAUGUUUUGCCGUUUUCACGAAUUCAUUCAUUUUUCAUGUUUCAUGAAUUCAUUCUUUUUAAAAAAAAAAAAUCCUGCUAAUUCUCUGUUUCUCUUGCUUUUCUCCUUUAUGACUAAGUUUUCCUCAUUAUGGGUUACCCCACAUUACUGCUUACGAAGACAUCUCUUUAGUCAGAAAACAGUAGCUUGGUUCAGUUCUAGCUUCAUUGUUAAGCUCAUAGGUAAAUCUGGCAAAUGGCUAGAAACAGUCACAUGUUUGCUUGUCCUUAAUGCUCUCACCUUUUCCCAGCUAUUUGGAUGUAUAUACUUUUGCUUACUUUGUAGUGUACCAACUUAAUAUAUGUUAUAGACUAAAUGUUUAUGUCCUCCCAAACUUCAUAUUUUGGAAGCCAGACAUGGUAACUCACACCUGUAAACCUAACACUUUGGGAGGCCUAGGUGGGAGGAUUGCUUGAGUCCGGGAGUUCAGAACCAGCCUGGACAACAUAGUGAGACCCCGUCUCUACAAAAAAAAAAAAAAUUUUUAAUUAGCCAGGUGUGGUGGCAUACACCUGUAGUCCCAGCUACUCAGGAGGCUUGCCUGAGCCCAGAAGUUUGAGACUGCAGUGAGCCAUGAUAUUGCCAGCCUGGGUGACAGAGCAAGACCUUGUCUCAAGAAAAAAAAAAAAAAUUGCCAAUUGCGAUGGCUCACGCCUGUAAUCCCAGCACUAGGAGGCCGAGGUGGGUGAAUCACCUGAGGUCAGGAGUUUUGAGACCAGCCUGGCCAACGUGGCAAAACCCCGUCUCUACUAAAAAUGCAAAAAUUACCGGGACGUGUUGGUGAGCACCUGUAAUCCCUGCUACUCGGGAGGCUGAGGCAAGAGAAUCUCUUGAACCCAGGGGGUGGAGGUUGCACUGAGCCGAGAUCAUGCCAUUGUACUUCACCUGGGCAACAAGAGGGAAACUGUCUCCAAAAAAAAAAAAUUUGGAGGGCUGGGCACGGUGGCUCACACCUGUAAUCCCAGCACUUUGGGAGGCCAAGGCGGUGGAUCACAAAGUCAGGAGUUCAAGACCAGCCUGGCCAACAUAGUGAAACCCUGUCUCUACUAAAAAUACAAAAAUUAGCCAGGCAUGGUGGCACACGCCUGUAGUCCCAGCUACUGGGGAGGCUGAGGCAGGAGAAUUGCUUUGAACCCGGGAGGCAGAGGUUGUGAGCUGAGAUCGCGUCAGUACACUCCAGCCUGGGCAACAAUGCGAGAUUGCAUCUCAAAAAAAUAAAUAAAUAUUUGGAGUCCCAUAAUAAAUAAAUAUUUGGAGUCCAAUGUGAUAGUAUCUGGAGAUGGGGCCUUUGGAGGUAAUAUGGGUUAGAUAGGUCAUGACGGUAGGGCCCUCAUUAUGGGAUUAGUGGCGUUAUAAGAAGAAGAGAGAAAUCUUCCUCCUCAAGAGCAGAGGAAAAGCCAUAUAAGAAUACAGUGAGACGGCCACUUCCAAACCAGAAAGGGAGCCCCCACCAGGAACCAAAUUGGCUGGCACCUUGAUCUUGGACUUCCCAUGCUCCAGAACUGUGAGAAAUAAAUUUCUAUUAUUUAAGCCCAUGGUAGUUUUAUGGCAUCCUAAGCUAAGACAGCGCGUCUCUAGUUUCCCACAGAUUCAUAAAGGUCCAUACAAAAAUGUUAUAACUGUUAAUAGUGUCCUGUCCUUGAAUUUAACAGCAACCAACAUAUUGUUUGCAUAGUUCUUGCACCAUUUGGAAACAGUGACCUUUAGGUGUUGCAGGUAACUAUUGGGAAAUCCUUCAAUUUGUUUAACAUUUCCAUAUUUUGAUUUGCAUCUUGGGAGUUGCUUGGAAUUUGGGAUCCUCUUCUGUCUCUUGAGUUGAAAUCAGAGGCUGCUUGCCGGGCAAGGUGGCUCACGCCUGUAAUCCCAGCACUUUGGGAGGCCCAGGCAGACAGAUCACCAGAUGUCGGGAGUUAGAAACCAGCCUGGCCAACAUGGCAAAACCCCGUCUCUACUAAAAAUACAAAAAUUAGUCGGGCGUGCUGGUGCAUGCCUGUAAUCCUAGCUGCUUGGGUGCUGAGUUAGGAGAAUUGCUUGAAUCCGGGAGGUGGAGGUUGCAGUGAGCCAAGAUCGUGUCACUGCACUCCAGCCGGGGCAACAGAGCAAGACUCUGCCUCAAAAAAAAGAAAAAAGAAAUCAGAGGCUGGGCAUAGUGGCUCAUGCCUAUAAGCCCAGCACUUUGGGAGGCCAAGGCAGGUGGAUCACUUGAGGCCAGGAGUUCAAGACCAGCCUGGGCAACAUGGCAAAAGCCUAUCUCUACUAGAGAUACAAAAGAUUAGCUGGACGUGAUGGUGUGUGCCUGUAAUCCCAGCUACUCAAGAGGCUGAGGCACAAGAGAAUUGCUUGAACACAGGAGGUGGAGGUUGCAGUGAGCCAAGAUCACGCCACUGCACUCCAACCUGGGGCAACAGAGUGAGACUCUGUCUCAAAAAAAAAAAAAAGAAAUCAGAGAUAAUAUAAAUGCAGGUGUAAACUCAUACACUUAAUGGGCUAUAAGUUUUGGAACUGGCUGUGAUAAUAUAACAAAAGUAAUAAUGGGCUGUAAGUGGUAUUAAAUGUGGGAUUAACUGGAUAUUUAAUGAUACCAAGGAAUCAUUAAUUUUGUUUGGCUGUGAUGUUUUAUUAUUAGAAUGAUGUUAUGAUUAAAUUUUAUUUUUGUCUGGAUACAGUGGCUCACACCUGUAAUCCCAGUGCUUUGGGAGGCCGAGGCAGAUGGAUCACUUGAGGCCAGGAGUUCCAGACCAGCCUGGCCAACACGGCGAAACCCCAUCUCUACUAAAAAUACAAAAAAUUAGCCAGGCCUGGUGGUGCACGCUUGUAAUCCCAGGUACUUGGGAGGCUAAGGCAGGAGGAUCACUUGAACCCAGGGGAGGCUGCAGUGAGCUGAGAUCGUGCCACUGCACUCCAGCUUGGGCAACAGAGCAAGACUCCAUCUUAAAAAGAAGAAAGAAAGAACUUCUAUUUUUUAAAUGUUUUUUCCUUUCAUUGAACUCCAUUUAUAGCCUUUCCAUUCAGAGCAUAAAGAUUAAAUUUUAAAACAAGGCUUGGCACCCUGGCUUAUGCCUGUAAUCCCAGCACUUUGUGAGGCCAAGGUGGGCGGAUCACCUGAGCUCAGAAGUUUGAGUCCAGCCUGGCUAACAUGGUGAAACCCCAUCUCUAAAAGAGUACACAGUCCUAGAGCAGUGGUGUGCGCCUGUAGUCCUAGCUACCUGGGAGGCUGAACCAGGAGAAUUGCUUGAGCCUGGGAGGCAGAGGUUGCAGUGAGCCAAGAUCGCACCAUUACACUCCAGCCUGGGUGACAGAGAGAGACCCUGUGCCCCUCAAAAAAAUGUUUUUUUUAAACAAGAAUCUCUCAGGCAUACUGAAAUGUUGAAGAGGAAAUUAUAUUAAUAUCUGGGACUUGUUUCCAAAUUUGGAAUUGGGGCAGGGUGUAAAUUGUUGGCAAUAUCAAAGAAACGAGGAGUUGGAAUGAUAAUUGUAGAAGCUGCAUGAUAGAUACACAUUCUUUAUACUUCUGUAUAUGUUGAAAUUUUUUAUCAAAUUAUAAUUGUGUAUAAUGACUAAUUAUGCUUUCAUUGUCUAUUCUGUGUGGUUAUGUUACUUGCUGAAAUUAAUACAUAAAGAGUCUUCAACUUAAAUGACUUAUCAAGCAUAAAUAUUAAAAUACUGGAUGUUACUACACAUUUGACUCCACUUAUGCAUUUAUUCAUCAACUAUUAAAUGCUUUCAUGUAGAUUUCUCAUUUAAUCUCUGCAAGGUAGGUGUUACCCCUGGUUUUACAAAUGAGAAAAUGUAGAUUCAAGAUAAGUAAUAUGCAGGUCAAGAAUAGCAAAAUCGGUCGGGUGCGGUACCUCACGCCUGUAAUCCCAACACUUUGAGAGGCCGAAGUGGGUGGAUCACCUGAGGUCAGGAGUUCAAUCCCAGCCUAGCCAAUACAGUGAAACCCCAUCUCUACUAAAAAUACAAAAAUUAGCCAGGCAUGAUGGCAGGUGCCUGUAAUACCAACUACUCGGGGGGUUGAGGGAGGAGAAUCGUUUGAACCCGGGAGGUGGAGGUUGCAGUGGCCCGAGAUUGUGUCACUGCACUCCAGCCUGGGCGACAGAGCUAGACUCCAUCUAAAAAAAAUGAAAAUAGCAAAAUUACAACUUUUCCCCCAUUUGGUCUUCCACCUGGAAACUCAUGUUUUAUUUCUACUGUUACCAUGCUGCUUCUCAGACAUGCCUGACUGUUUCUUCCCGUGCUGUUUUCCUUUAGGAGUGAAAGCUUGGCACAACAUGUACAAUAAAAUUUAGGGAAGAUUUUUGGGGUCUUUGUCCUCUUCUUUCCUGUUAAAGCAGCU
rnacentral:lncRNA from 1 species